UCCGUCUGUAACUCUAUCUCUCUUACUCCUUCGUCGCCUGAAGUCAGAGAACUUCCAUGGGUGUUCGUUAACAAUGUUUGAUACUGCUUAGAAAUUGAAAAAUAAGACCGGCAUGUUCAGAUCGAUAGCAAUUAAAAUCAGGUGUUGAGGUACAAAUUUUCAGUUUGUGGACUUCACUAAUUCUAGAUGGUUGCUGCUACUUUACAUCCAAGGUUUUUAACUGUCUAAGAAAAGAGAUUAAGAAAAUGCUUGUUUUCUCUCUUUGUUCUCUCUCAAUUGGUGGCUCAGUUUAGACUAUCAAGUCAAAGAGGUAUUUGGUUCAGCUAAGUGUGUGCGUGACUGCUGGUGCAUGAUGGCAAGAGUAUUCCUUACCUUUUGAUCGAGAAACACCAAGUUUUACUCAUAUGACUUUGGCUGAACUCGAGAAAGCUGGUAUUUUGAAGUUUCUUAUUAUACGGGUGAUGCCACAUUAUCUUAUUUAUGAUGUUUAUUCUUUCGCAGUUCCAUAAGAGUUGUAAGCAGCUGGUGGAUUAAUUCAUGGAAGGCGCUUUCGAGAAUAAAGAGAAGCUCACUGAACCAGAGCAGGGAAUUCUUGAUUGGUUAAGCCUAAGGGAGCUUGGAUGGAGCUGAAGGCACUGGCUGUGGAAGUGCUAAGAGGCCAGUGUUUUUUUAAGAAACUGGACAAAGUUUACUAUAUAUUUACAAGCAUGCCAUACCUUUGGUGGAGGAUGUUUCUCCGAUCACUACAAGAAAACCUAGCUUAAGCGACCAAAAUCCUAGCAAGAACCCAGUUGGCUUGCUAUAAAUUUAUGGCCAUUAAAUUUAAGCCACCACCGGAUAUCUUUGCUCCACCACCUGAUAUGUUUGCUCGCUCGAUCUCUUUUGCAAGUAAUUCAUAACGACCAAAAAUGUGCUCUUAUAUAUAGCUAUUUACUUUGAGGCACCAUCUAGUAACAACCAAAAACAAAUGGGUUGGUUAAACUUCUCUCAGCGACUAACUUCCAAACUUCCACCUACCACCUAUUCAACCGAGAAUAGGAUAUUAGUUAUGUUGAGUCCUCCAAGACAUACCAUUAGCUUUAUAAUUUGUGGUUCAUACUUGGUCGUCAAGUUUACUUUCGGUUAAGAUGUUUUUCUGGAGUUAUUUUGUGUCUUGAUCAUGUCUGAGGAAACUUUCAUGUUGUAACGAUGUUUCAGCAUUUUUGAAAAUUUUGCAGGCCGGGCAUGGGUCGAGGAGGAGGCUCUGGUUUAUCAAAUCGUGGAGGUAGUACAAGGAACAACCGUGGUGGUGGUGGUGCUCAACGUGGUCGUGGUGGAGAUAAAAGCCGUGGUGGUGGUGCCGGCCGUGGCCGAGGUGGCGGUCGUGGAAAGACUAAACCAACUGUUAAGUCUUCUAGCGAGCUUGAUGCUGAACUAGAGAGUUAUCAUGCUGAAGCUAUGCAAUCUUAGUAAAUAUUUGCAGCUAACUAGUCGAUUACAAGGAGUGACUCUAUUGUAUAGAAACCAUCCUCCUGUGGUAGCUUCUUUUGAAUCUUUUGCUUUGGGAUACUUGCUUUUAUUUUGUCCUCAGCAAGUUAGUUGCUCA